GAUGAAGAACGCAGCAAAAUGCGAUAAGUAAUGUGAAUUGCAGAAUUCAGUGAAUCAUCGAAUCUUUGAACGCACAUUGCGCCCGCCAGUAUUCUGGCGGGCAUGCCUGUUCGAGCGUCAUUUCAACCCUCAAGCACAGCUUGGUGUUGGGACUCGCGUUAAUUCGCGUUCCCCAAAUUGAUUGGCGGUCACGUCGAGCUUCCAUAGCGUAGUAGUAAAACCCUCGUUACUGGUAAUCGUCGCGGCCACGCCGUUAAACCCCAACUUCUGAAUGUUGACCUCGGAUCAGGUAGGAAUACCCGCUGAACUUAAGCAUAUCAAUAAGCGGAAGA
rnacentral:misc_RNA from 1 species